AUUGAACGCUAGCGGGAUGCCUUACACAUGCAAGUCGAACGAGUGGCGGACGGGUGAGUAAUAUAUCGGACCGUGCCCAGUAGCGGGGGAUAACUACUCGAAAGAGUGGCCAAAACCGCAUACUAUUGGAGCAGCCGAUAUCGGAUUAGCGGGUGGGAGGGGUAAAGGCUCACCAAGGCAAGGAGCCGUAGCUGGUUUGAGAGGAAGACCAGCCACACUGGGACUGAGACACGGCCCAGACUCCUACGGGAGGCAGCAGUGGGGAAUUUUGGACAAUGGGGGAAACCCUGAUCCAGCCAUCCCGCGUGUAUGAGAAGGCCUUCGGGUUGUAAAGUACUUUUGGCAGGGAAGCGGUAUCUGCAGAAUAAGCACCGGCUAACUACGUGCCAGCCGCCGCGGUAAUUC
rnacentral:rRNA from 1 species